CCAAGGCAUGUUAUCAAAUCAGAGAGAGCCAAAUAAAAUAUAAUACGUGGAUCAGCAGAUAGUCGUCUUCGUUGUCUAUUACGAUAUUGCCAUAAAUUACUCAGUUGUAAAGCUGCUCCAAUAAAACCCACUAUAGAUGUUGAUAUACAUAUUAUACUAAUUGCCAGUCUUUUUUCGUGAUUUAGUGUGCUAUCUGGAAUACAAAAGACUGACCUAUCACGUAGAAAUGCCAUAUUGUGUAAGUUCAGAGAAACUAUAUAAAC